UCUGCAUCGGACAACACUCAACUCGGGAUUGGCACCCAGCCAGUGCCCUACACUAUACAAGAUGCCACUGUAGGGACAGGGAUGACCUCUAGCAAGCGGGCUAAAUCAACACCACAGGCCCCGUGAUCAAUAUAUGUGAUGAGGACAUUACAUCCUGGUGUUGUUGCCCCAAGUCUUGACGUGAAUCUGACCACAAGGACAAUUCGGACAACCUGAAAUGGUGACGCAUUCUACAAAAUAAACAUCAAUGUCAUGAAAGACAAAGACUCAAGAUUUUCUGCUUAAUGGAGACUAAAG
rnacentral:lncRNA from 10 species